rnacentral:tRNA from 1 species
GACCGCGUAGCUCAGUUGGCAGAGCAUUUGGCUAGUAUUCCAAAGGUCGUAGGUUCGAUUCCCACCGUGGCCA